GAAACUGCACAAAAAAUGGAGCUGGGGGGUUCCCUGGUCCCCGAUGUUGGGGCGGGGAGCGCGGCGCCGAGGGAGGGGGCGGCGCAGACCAGCCAAGGGGACACCUGGUCGAGCGCAGCCGCCGCUCCGCUCGAGCCCUGCGCUCCAGUGCCCCCAGUGCCCCCACUGGCUGGAGAGCUCGCCCAGACCGGGGGUCUUCCUCCCUCGCUGACAGAUUCUAACUGUUAGAAGAGUACCAAUUCUGGAAAACAACCAAAGUUUCUUUGAAUGAAUGCCCACGUAAUGCAUUGGAAUAUAAUAAGAGAUUAAGGUUUAACAAUGUUAAAAUGAAGAUAUUACUAAAAUGGCCCUCUAAAUAGCCCAACAAUUAUUAUUUUCAUUAUCCUAUGAAUUUGGCUUUGAAAGGUGUGCUGCUCUUAAUAAGCUUUUCAUUCUGCUAGCCAUACUUUCUCUCCCUACUCUGGACUCUUCUAGAUGUCCCCAGCUGUGCUCUCCUUCAUAAUCUACAAACCCUCUCCUCAACCAUACUCUGGACCAGUCAUGUCCUCGUUUCAGACACUUAUUUUCUGAUUUGCACCACAGUGUUUCAAUAGCAAGGCUGAUGAUUUGAGUAUGAAAGCUGUGGGUCAGGAUGCCAGGCAGACAGAAUGGGUGACAUUCUAGUUAAAUGAUCAGACACCGACUGACAUUUACCAACUGUGUCAAAGCUACAUGAGCUAGGUAGAUACUGCUGGAACUUUAACAGGCAUCAAGCAAGUCUAUAGAAGCACUGAGCUGUGCCACUACCCAGUGUUCUUCCAGAACACACAAACUGAAGGGGGCUGGAGCCUUCCAAUGAGAACUGUUGUGUGAUUAAUCAAUGAGGCUGACUAAAGCACACACCUAUAAUCCCAGUACUCAGAGAGACAAAGAAGGACAUCAGCGCAAGGCCAACAAGGCUUCAAAGCAAGUUCCAACCAGACUGGACCAUGAGACCCUAUUUCAGAAACAAAUAAUAAAAGCUUGAUGAAGCUGCAAAAAUUACUCAUUUUAUCAAAUCCUGAUUCUUGUAUACUGAACUACACACAAAAGCACUUGUGUGGCCAGUGGGUGCGGUCAGAAAGGAGUACAGGCUCACGUGACUCAGCUACAAGCUGAGACAGCUGCUGUUAUUAGGAAAACAAUGGAAGCCAGCAGUAUGCAGAUUUAGGUAGCAGAUGAAUCUUAAAAGUGAGUAAAAUGAGCUGGGUACUUCCAGAAACACAAUACUUCUUGAUCCCGGAAAGGGAAAAGGCUGGGUUUUUAUGUUAAAAUUUGAAUUUCUGCUAUAUGUACUUAUAAUCUUCCCAUUAAAGAUGCUGAUAAAUAAUAAAGU
rnacentral:lncRNA from 1 species